GGACGUCCCUUGGGACGGUGAGGUGUUGUGGGAGGUCACCCAGACCAGGAGUUCUUCAAGCUACCCACCUAUGGGAUCCACUUGGUGCCACCACACUCAGCCACCACGGAGUUGGGACAAAAAGACAUUACGUUCUUGGAGAGCACCCGUCCUACAGAGCAAAUGUCCUUCUAAAAACAGGAGUAAUAAACGUUCAUCGAAGAGGAGUCAGGCCUCAUCCAGGCAUUAAACUCGUCGGCCAGGAAGCAUGGUCCUGCCAAGUACCAGCCAGCAGAGAAUGGAGGUAUUUGGUGAGCAGCACCAGUGUGCCCACACUCGUUUAUAUAGCAGAAAGGCGUCGACCUGACAUUUUGGCAUAUUAUUUGAAAGAUUACCGCUCGGCAGUUCGUGCAAAAUGAAGACCCGGAG